UACCAGCACCCCGAGUGGUCGUUACGAUUAUUGGGCCUAAAGCAUCCGUAGCCGGUCCUACAAGUCUUCCGUUAAAUCCCCCUGCUCAACAGAUGGGCUGCGGAAGAUACUAUAGGGCUAGGAGGCGGGAGAGGCAAGCGGUACUCAGUGGGUAGGGGUAAAAUCCGCUGAUCCAUUGAAGACCACCAGUGGCGAAGGCGGCUUGCCAGAACGCGCUCGACGGUGAGGGAUGAAAGCUGGGGGAGCAAACCGG
rnacentral:rRNA from 1 species